CCGGAUUAGAUACCCUGGUAGUGCACGCCGUAAACGAUGAGUGCUAGCUGUUGGGUGGUUUACCAUUCAGUGGCGCAGCUAACGCAUUAAGCACUCUGCCUGGGGAGUACGGUCGCAAGAUUAAAACUCAAAGGAAUUGACGGGGGGCCGCACAAGCGGUGGAGCAUGUGGUUUAAUUCGAUGCAACGCGCAGAACCUUACCAGCCCUUGACAUGUAUAGGACGAUAUCAGAGAUGGUAUUUUCUUUUCGGAGACCUUUACACAGGUGCUGCAUGGCUGUCGUCUGCUCGUGUCUUGAGAUGUUGGGUUAAGUCUCGCAACGAGAGCGACCCCUGCCUCUAGUGGCCAUCAAGUUUAGGUUUUUACCUAGAUGUUGGGUACUUUAUAGGGACUGCCGGUGAUAAGCCGGAGGAAGGUGGGGAGGACGUCAAGUCUUCAUAGCCCUUAUGGGGUGGGCUACACACGUGCUACAAUGGUGGUUACAAUGGGUUGCGAAGUCGCGAGGCGGAGCUAAUCUCCAAAAGCCAUAUCAGUUCGGAGUGCACUCUGCAACUCGAGUGCACGAAGUCUGAGGUCGCUAGUAAUCGCGGAUCAGCAUGCGGCGGUGAAUAUGUACCCGGGCCCCGUACACACCGCCCGUCACACCCUGGGGAUUGGUUUUGCCCGAAGCAUCGUCCCAACGAUCAUCCACGACUUCUGUGUUCCACUAGUGCCACAAAGGCUUUUGGUGGUCUUUUUGGCGCAUACCACGGUGGGGUGUUGUGAUUGGGGUGAAGUGGUAUCAAGGUAACCAAUCGCAUUCGCGCUGCCGCCAGGCGGCCGGA
rnacentral:rRNA from 1 species